rnacentral:misc_RNA from 1 species
AAUAAAAUAAAAUAAAAUAAAACAUAGGCUUUAAAAGAAUGGUCAUAAUUGACUAUCCAGACCCAUAAAACAGAUUAAUAGUACUUUUUUAUCAUAUAACGACAGCACCAAUAGCAUGGCAAUUGCAUGACAAGAAAUGCAUCCAAAUCUCAAAUUAAAUAUACCUGGAAGGCCCACUUCACAAUAAUUUGACACAAUUUACACCAAAAUUUAAG